GGGGAAUAUUGCGCAAUGGGGGAAACCCUGACGCAGCAACGCCGCGUGGGUGAUGAAGGUCUUCGGAUUGUAAAGCCCUGUUUUCUAGGACGAUAAUGACGGUACUAGAGGAGGAAGCCACGGCUAACUACGUGCCAGCAGCCGCGGUAAUACGUAGGUGGCGAGCGUUGUCCGGAUUUACUGGGCGUAAAGGGUGCGUAGGCGGAUGUUUAAGUGGGAUGUGAAAUCCCCGGGCUUAACCUGGGGGCUGCAUUCCAAACUGGAUAUCUAGAGUGCAGGAGAGGAAAGCGGAAUUCCUAGUGUAGCGGUGAAAUGCGUAGAGAUUAGGAAGAACACCAGUGGCGAAGGCGGCUUUCUGGACUGUAACUGACGCUGAGGCACGAAAGCGUGGGUAGCAAACAGGAUUAGAUACCCUGGUAGUCCACGCCGUAAACGAUGGAUACUAGGUGUAGGGGGUAUCAACUCCCCCUGUGCCGCAGUUAACACAAUAAGUAUCCCGCCUGGGGAGUACGGUCGCAAGAUUAAAACUCAAAGGAAUUGACGGGGGCCCGCACAAGCAGCGGAGCAUGUGGUUUAAUUCGAAGCAACGCGAAGAACCUUACCUGGACUUGACAUCCCUUGCAUAGCCUAGAGAUAGGUGAAGCCCUUCGGGGCAAGGAGACAGGUGGUGCAUGGUUGUCGUCAGCUCGUGUCGUGAGAUGUUAGGUUAAGUCCUGCAACGAGCGCAACCCUUGUUAUUAGUUGCUACCAUUAAGUUGAGCACUCUAAUGAGACUGCCUGGGUAACCAGGAGGAAGGUGGGGAUGACGUCAAAUCAUCAUGCCCCUUAUGUCCAGGGCUACACACGUGCUACAAUGGUAGGUACAAUAAGACGCAAGACCGUGAGGUGGAGCAAAACUUAUAAAACCUAUCUCAGUUCGGAUUGUAGGCUGCAACUCGCCUACAUGAAGCUGGAGUUGCUAGUAAUCGCGAAUCAGAAUGUCGCGGUGAAUACGUUCCCGGGCCUUGUACACACCGCCCGUCACACCAUGAGAGCUGGUAACACCCGAAGUCCGUGAGGUAACCGUAAGGA
rnacentral:rRNA from 1 species